rnacentral:rRNA from 1 species
UCGCGAAAACUUCGCAAUGGGGGCAACCCCGACGAGGGAAUUCCAAGUGCUAGCACUUUGUGUUAGCUGUUCUUCUGUCUAAAAAACAGGAGGAGUAAGGGGCGGGUAAGACGGGUGCCAGCCGCCGCGGUAAUACCCGCGCCCCAAGUGGUGGUCGAUAUUAUUGAGCCUAAAACGUCCGUAGCCGGUCUUCUAAAUCCUUGGGUAAAUCGGGCAGCUUAACUGUCCGAAGUCCGGGGAGACUGGGAGACUUGGGACCGGGAGAGGUCAGAGGUACUUCUGGGGUAGGGGUAAAAUCCUGUAAUCCUGGAAGGACCACCGGUGGCGAAGGCGUCUGACUAGAACGGAUCCGACGGUGAGGGACGAAGCCCUGGGGCGCAAACGG